rnacentral:rRNA from 2 species
GGCUGUAGUCGGUCCCAAGGGUUGGGCUGUUCGCCCAUUAAAGCGGUACGCGAGCUGGGUUCAGAACGUCGUGAGACAGUUCGGUCCCUAUCCGUCGCGGGCGUAGGAAAUUUGAGAGGACCUGUCCUUAGUACGAGAGGACCGGGAUGGACAUACCGCUGGUGUACCAGUUGUUCCGCCAGGAGCACCGCUGGGUAGCUAUGUAUGGACGAGAUAAACGCUGAAAGCAUCUAAGUGUGAAACUCGCCUCGAGAUGAGAUUUCCCAUUUCCUUCGGGAAAGUAAGACCCCUCAGAGAUGAUGAGGUAGAUAGGAUGGAAGUGGAAGUGCCGUGAGGCAUGGAGCGGACCAUUACUAAUCGGUCGAGGACUUAACCAAG